rnacentral:rRNA from 1 species
CCCUUAGAUGUUCUGGGCCGCACGCGCGCUACACUGACGAAUGCAACGAGCUUAUAACCUUGGCCGAAAGGUCUGGGUAAUCUCCAAAUUUCGUCGUGAUGGGGAUAGAUUAUUGCAAUUAUUAAUCUUCAACGAGGAAUGCCUAGUAAGCGCAAGUCAUCAGCUUGCGUUGAUUACGUCCCUGCCCUUUGUACACACCGCCAGUCGCUCCUACCGAUUGAAUGGUCCGGUGAAGCGUUCGGACCGUGGCCUUUGGACGGUUCGCCGUCUGUUGGCUGCGGGAAGUUCGUUAAACCUUAUCAUUUAGAGGAAGGAGAAGUCGUAACA